UACGUAGGGUGCAAGCGUUAAUCGGAAUUACUGGGCGUAAAGCGUGCGCAGGCGGUUGUGUAAGACAGAUGUGAAAUCCCCGGGCUCAACCUGGGAACUGCAUUUGUGACUGCACAGCUGGAGUGCGGCAGAGGGGGAUGGAAUUCCGCGUGUAGCAGUGAAAUGCGUAGAUAUGCGGAGGAACACCAAUGGCGAAGGCAAUCCCCUGGGCCUGCACUGACGCUCAUGCACGAAAGCGUGGGGAGCAAACAGG
rnacentral:rRNA from 1 species